rnacentral:tRNA from 1 species
UACAUCUUGGUGUUAUGGUGCACGGCGGCUUUUGAUGCUUGAAGGAGAUAGUUUGAUUCUGUUGGAUGUAA